CAGGCCUAACMCAUGCAAGUCGAGGGGCAGCGCGGGAGUGGCAACACUCCUGGCGGCGACCGGCGCACUGGUGAGUAACACGUAUGCGACCUGCCCCGGACAGGGGGAUAAACCCGGGAAACUGGGCCUAAUACCCCAUACGCCUUGGGGACGCAUGUUCCCAUGGUGAAAGAUCCGUCGGUCCGGGAUGGGCAUGCGGCGCAUUAGCUUGUUGGCGGGGUAACGGCCCACCUGGCCAUCGAUCGGUAGGGGUUCUGAGAGGAAGGUCCCCCACAUUGGAACUGAGACACGGUCCAAACUCCUACGGGAGGCAGCAGUGAGGAAUAUUGGUCAAUGGGCGGAAGCCUGAACCAGCCAAGUAGCGUGUGGGAUGACGGCCCUACGGGUUGUAAACCACUUUUGCGCGGGGAUAACCGGCGGCACGCGUGCCGCCCUGCAGGUACCGCGCGAAUAAGGACCGGCUAAUUCCGUGCCAGCAGCCGCGGUAAUACGGAAGGUCCGGGCGUUAUCCGGAUUUAUUGGGUUUAAAGGGAGCGUAGGCGGGAUGCUAAGCGUGCUGUGAAAUCCUGUGGCUCAACCAUGGGCGUGCAGCGCGAACUGGCUUUCUUGAGUGCGCGGGAGGCAGGCGAAAUUCGUGGUGUAGCGGUGAAAUGCUUAGAUAUCACGAGGAACCCCGAUUGCGAAGGCAGCCUGCCGUAGCGUUACUGACGCUGAAGCUCGAAGGUGCGGGUAUCGAACAGGAUUAGAUACCCUGGUAGUCCGCACGGUAAACGAUGGAUGCCCGCUGUCCGCCCUUUGCGGCGGGUGGCCAAGCVAAAGCGUUAAGCAUCCCACCUGGGGAGUACGCCGGCAACGGUGAAACUCAAAGGAAUUGACGGGGGCCCGCACAAGCGGAGGAACAUGUGGUUUAAUUCGACGCAACGCGAAGAACCUUACCAGGGCUUGACAUCGACUGAAAGAUGCAGAGAUGUAUCCCUCUCUUCGGAGACAGGAAGACAGGUGGUGCAUGGCUGUCGUCAGCUCGUGUCGUGAGAUGUUGGGUUAAGUCCCGCAACGAGCGCAACCCCUAUCCUAUGUUACCAUCAUUGAGUUGGGGACUCAUAGGAGACUGCCAGGGACAACCUGGAGGAAGGCGGGGAUGACGUCAAGUCAUCAUGCCCCUUAUGUCCUGGGCUACACACGUACUACAAUGGCCGGCAACAGAGGGAAGCGAAGCCGCGAGGCGGAGCGAACCCCAAAAACCCGGUCCCAGUUCGGAUCGCAGGCUGCAACCCGCCUGCGUGAAGUCGGAAUCGCUAGUAAUCGCAGGUCAGCAUACUGCGGUGAAUACGUUCCCGG
rnacentral:rRNA from 1 species